AAAUUCUUAGUAUAUUUAGUAUUUUUAAUUGCAAAUUAAAAGGUAAAGAAUUUUG
rnacentral:tRNA from 1 species